GCAAUUGCAUAGGUUGCAACGGCAACCAACAAAGAUUGGCAACAACAGAAUUACAGAAAGACGCCAAAAGGGUAGAAUUUAUUUGACUAAAUUUACGAAAACCCCCAACUUAAUUGAUGGAGUGGGGUCAGAAUUAGGGUUUUCACACAAUUGCCUACCUAAUACAGAGAUAUUCACACAGAAUAUAUAUAAUAAUUAUAAUAAUAAUCUGUUUAGAUUACAAGUAUCCAUCCUUUUUUAUGUCCUAAUCAGAAUACAACUCUAAAAGAGAAUCAUCCUUGUUUACUACUCGCAGAUUCCACUAAUACCAUCCAGACAUUGCAUAGUCUGAUAUUAAAGUGUAAUAAAGUAAUACAAACACAAUCAUACUACUAUUAUGCAAAGUAAUGUCACUAGCUAGUCUAAUUCUGAUGAAAUAUUCAUAGAGGACAGUCCUUUCUAUUGGCUCAGGAUUAUCGCUAUUAUAAGCAUAUUGGCCUUUCGAAGAGGAGGGAAUGGUAAUUUCCCCCUCCCCUUAUACUGUUCUCACCUUUCUAGCGACCCGCUUUCGCUGCUUUUCUCUGUUUUAUAUUUCAUCGAUGAAUGGACACAAGGCAUCAAGAGGUAAACUGUCACUGAGAUCAUUCUCACAAAGCUGAAAAUUCGAAAAAGAUAAAAUAUGUAAUGAUGGACCUUCGAUCUAGAUAGGUUAGGUGACUACCUGAUAUGUUGUAGUUAAAGAAAAAUGACUCAAAUAACGAUAGCGCUUCCUCAUUGUCUCUGAUUGUGUCAGUCUCUAGUUGUACAAUCUUUCUAUAAAUUCUGCGAACCAAAAACUUCAACUAAGAAACCUGACGACAUGAAAACAACAAAAUUUAAAUUGCUUUAAGCAGAUAACAUGUGUUUCGAGACAAUGAAAUAAACCUCUGGAAAAGCUAUUGUGGGGAAGAAUUUCACGUUGUUCUCAAACCCUCAUUAAAAGGCAUCAACACCAAGUGUUGCUGAUAAUCAUCAAAAGCACUUGAAGGGAGUUGAUAUCACAAAUAAACACCUCUUCCUUGUUGAAAUGCAGCUAACAUCAAAAAUGUAAUGAGCCAUACAUUUUGCAAUACAAGUAAGUAGUCAAACAAAACACCAACACUCACAUAAUUAAUACGGAAUCAAGUACACAGUUCGAAAAGUCUUAGAAUAUAAAGCAUAAGUCAGUGACAAAAUGUCAACGACAACCAUAUUCAAACAUAAUCUCCAAACACUUAAUCAUCUCCAGCAUCACUUCCACCAUCCCAGUCCGAUGAAAAUCGCAAGUUCCGAUAUGAAUUUGCCCACAUGAUACGUUUGGAUCCUACGAGUGAAAACAAGCUCUUUGUAUAUUUAAAAAUUUCACCCCUUUCAAGAUAAGGACGAACAGCGACAUCUGUGGUCUCUUUCGUGUUCCAGUUAUACAAAAUCCGGUCACCAUCCUUUUCAAUAAGUAUAAACUCAAAAUUGCUGUAAAGGACACAGAAAAAUUCAUCUGGCACACCUAUAUCAACACAGAGCACUUUAGUCCAAGACGCCUCAACUCCACCACUACAAACACAUGUCUCAUCAUCUAAUGUCCAUAAGUUAAUCUUACCUUCUUCUAAAACACAAGUAAUGGCAACAACAGUAUCCUUCGAGACAGUGAUAUCAAUACUACUCUCUUCUUCAUCUAAAGAAACAACAGGGAGUUUAAUUCCACCAAUAAACACCUCCUUGUUCAAAUUAAAAGCCAUCAUACUAUCAUGAUGUAUGGCAAACAAAAAUCCGUGAAGCGCAUGGAAAUUGCUGGAUUGAGAAAUUGGCUUGGAUUCAAUUGUUCGCCAAACAUUCAUGUUUGAAGAAUAAACCUCAGCAGUAUCGGACACAAUUCUAACAAGUUUAAAAUCAUAAUCAAUGUGAUCGAAACCAAAACCGUAAGUACCAUUUGUCCCAUGUUCAUCACGCGUAGUAUAAGACGGAAGUAGUUUAGAGUGUUUAGUUGCAGGAUUCCAAAGAUAGAUAUCAAAAUUCUUUUUAGCAGCACGCCAGUUCGAUAAUCUAACAACAACACAAACAAUUCCACAAUCCGUACCUACAAGUUCAGAUGUGACUCCAAUAGAGCAUUGAUACUCACCUUGCGAGUAAGGAAAAUUCAAAUUCUUUGAAAUGCGAGCCGAAUCGAGGCGGAAGAGGGAGAAAGAGCCGUCUUCUUCUUCGUAAACGUAAUCAAAUUCUUUAUGUACAAUGAGAAUUUCGUCGUCAUCUUCCGCAGAGUUGGCGAGGUAAGAUUUGGCGAAACGAUGGCUAGAAAUGAUGGAAAGCCAUGAUUUUGAGACCGAUUUUAAUCGAAGUAGUGGCUUGAAUGGAAGGCGAAGGAAAAUCUCGAUCCAGAGAUCGUCCGUAAAAUUACUCAUCACCGCUUCCCAAGCUUUUGCUUUCUCCUCUUUCUUCUUCUUGAAUUUUCUCUUUUUCUCGUGUUUUUCAUCCAUUUAAGAACUCGGGCAAAAUUAGGGUUUAAAAAUAUGCAAAUGGGGGCUAGCGGGUGUUUAUGAAGAGACGCACUUAAAAACUGAGAAGCCUGAGAGACGGGUGAAGCACAAGUUUACCUUUAGAAACUAGGUGGGAAAAUUAACCAAACUUUUAAAACAAAUUAUAUAACAAUUUUUUCAAAAUCAUUUAAAAUUAUGAAAUAUUUCAUAUCGUUAAAUAAUAAUUAACCAAAAUUACUCUACUACAAAAUCAACUUUUUUCCAAGUUUAAAGCAUUAGAUUUCUUUUUAAAAUAAUUAAAUGUCAGAGUAUUAUGAUCAAAUUUAUAAUUUCUUAAAAGAUAAUUAAUGUUAUUAAAAAACAAGCCCAACGGUGUCAAACCCUAAAUAUAAUGUAAAAUAUCAUGUCCUACUAACUUAGGACAUAUUUUACUAACUUGAAUACCAACAAUGUGUCUUAUUCUUGUGAUAUGUUUAAUAUAUUAUUAUUAAAGAUUCACUUUCAUAAUUAAAGCAUAAUAUAAAGUGGAGAGAGAGAGAAAAAGUGUUCAUAAAAAUUUAUAAUAAAAUAUUGAAUGAAUAGGGCAAGGAGAGAGGUGUCUAAAAAUAGGGCUUGAGGAAGACAUUGUUGGAUCAAACUUUUUCAUCAUCCUCAAUUAUAGCUUAGAACAUGAUAUAACUUUUAUAACGUAUGACAAGAUAUAACUUAGAACAUGAUACAGAACAUCUCUUGGACUUGCUCCAACAGAAUCAAUAACAGAAUCAAUGGUACUACUGAGGAACACUACGUGGUUGCGUGCUCUAAGAUGUUUGUCACAAUGAAUACCUAUAUGAACUUUUAUCAAUGAAAACCUGUAUAAACAUUUAUCAGAUUAAUUUAGUUUUAGUCCAAUUCAAUAACACUAUCAGGCUUGAACACAAUACGGGGUUGUCUUCGAUUAAAAGACUGGGCCAGUUCAAUUAAAAAGCAAGCACGUUUAUGAAGAGUUCAGAGCAGCUUGUUCUACAGUCCUAACUGCACCUCAGACUCAGCCGUACAAUUUUGAUCUAAUUGCGGGAAAAGAAAGAUCUCAACAUGUUAUGAGAACAUAAAGUGCCUUGAGCUCUAUAAUAGAAAUUGGGGAUUGUAAGUUUCUGGUAUUGAAGCCCUCUCCACACAUCUUGUCGAGAUGGAUGUAUCUAGAAGUAGACAUCUUACUAAAACCCAAAAAAGAAAACAAUAUUAUACCCAUGUUACAUACCACCGACCAAAAUCGCAGCACUUAUUUUCACCAUCCUACAUUCAUUGGAUAAUGGAGAAUAUAUUCAGUCUCGCAAGAAUCGUUUUAGUUGUGGCCUUGUGGGUAUCAAACUGGAACACCCAGUUCUGAGAUCUUCAAUAUCCUUUUGUCCACAGCAUUUCGUUGUUGUCGGAGUGUGGACGCCAUGGAAGCUACCUGAUUAAUGGGUUUAGGUAUCAACACAAACCGUGAUAUGUCAGGAAAAGCUCAUACAACAAAAAGUAUGAAUAUGAUGAUCAUAAGUCACUUGCCUCGGCACGUAGCUUUAGAGCCUGUCUUCCAGGAAGCUCUCGCAGAAAUUCCAUCAGAUCUAUAUAUAUUAUAAAAUGAGUUAGUAAUGUAAUUCCUGCUCCUCAAAUCAGUACAGAUUUACAUGUAUUUUUCAAGGGAGAAGGUUAAUUAGGAAUAAAACUUGGCUAAAUUUGAGCAUAAAUUAACCUGACACGCAAGUAUUUUCAACAACUGAGCACGAUAUGAUGCAUGAAUAUUAGCAAGAUUUUAACCCAAAUCAACCUUCUGUGAAAAGAUUGUAUCAUGGAUCCAAGGUAGCUCAUAACAUAUAUAGAUUAAAUACAGAUUACUUUGUACUAUAUUUAAAAUUUCAAAAGGAAAAAUUACCACUCAGUUGUCUUAGUCUCAAACUAGUCCACUACGUACGUGUGGUCACUUAAGAAGAGAGAGUGUGACAAACAAAGACAGCAAGGCUAAGGCUGAGGUAGCACAUUAUUGGAAAAGGAGUAGGUUUUUGGUGCUUUUUUAAUGUGUGCUGUAAAUUUAAGUGCAUAGUUUCAGCCAGUCGAGACUUUGAACCUAAGCAAUUGCAUAGGUUGCAACAGCAACCAACAAAAAUUGGCAGGAAGUUAUUUACAAAAAUUUAGAAAAUAAGUGAUCAAGGCAGAUGUACCAAGAGAAAGACGCCGAAAGGGUAGAAUUUACUUGACUACAGUUAUGAAAACCCCCAACUUAUUUGAUGGAGUGGGGUCAGAAUUAGGGUUUCCAGACAAUUUCCUACCUGAU
rnacentral:lncRNA from 1 species